rnacentral:rRNA from 1 species
UACGUAGGGUGCAAGCGUUGUCCGGAAUUAUUGGGCGUAAAGAGCUCGUAGGCGGUCUGUCGCGUCGGCUGUGAAAACCUGGGGCUUAACUCCGGGCUUGCAGCCGAUACGGGCAGACUAGAGUUCGGCAGGGGAGACUGGAAUUCCUGGUGUAGCGGUGAAAUGCGCAGAUAUCGGGAGGAACACCGGUGGCGAAGGCGGUUCUCCGGGCCUGUACUGACGCUGAGGAGCGAAAGCGUGGGGAGCGAACAGG